GCCCAGACUCCUACGGGAGGCAGCAGUAGGGAAUAUUGCUCAAUGGGGGAAACCCUGAUGCAGCGACGCCGCGUGAGUGAAGAAGUAAUUCGUUAUGUAAAGCUCUAUCAGCAGGGAAGAAAAUGACGGUACCUGAGUAAGAAGCCCCGGCUAACUACGUGCCAGCAGCCGCGGUAAUACGUAGGGGGCAAGCGUUAUCCGGAUUUACUGGGUGUAAAGGGAGCGUAGGUGGCAUGGUAAGCCAGAAGUGAAAACCCGCGGCUCAACCCCGCGGAUUGCUUUUGGAACUAUCAGGCUGGAGUGCUGGAGGGGUAAGCGGAAUUCCUAGUGUAGCGGUGAAAUGCGUAGAUAUUAGGAGGAACACCGGUGGCGAAGGCGGCUUACUGGACAGAAACUGACACUGAGGCUCGAAAGCGUGGGGAGCAAACAGGAUUAGAUACCCCGGUAC
rnacentral:rRNA from 1 species